AUAAAUGAACAAAAAAUUGGCGAUGCCAUUUAUUUAUCCUUUUAAUAUGCAUUAUAAUAUUAGUAACUCAAUCCCCACACGUUUGUAAAGAGUAUCAAACAAUUUUAAAGUAACAUAUGAUUGAAUGAACACGAAUUUAAUUUAUUUUAAAAAUUCAAAAUAAAGUAAAACAAUAAAAAAAUAAAAGAAAAAAAAUCACUUUUUUUAAAAAGAAAAUCAAUGAAGCAGGGUAAAAGUAGGAAACAAAGUUAAACGCGGCUUGACAAGGCAAAUUAAAUUUAAC
rnacentral:lncRNA from 1 species